GCCCGGGUGGCGGAAUCGGUAGACGCAGCGGACUUAAAAUCCGCCGGUAGCAAUACUGUACGGGUUCGAGUCCCGUCUCGGGCACCA
rnacentral:tRNA from 1 species